AUCUGGCAAUGUGUAUCAAGAAACAACAACAAAAAAUUAUACCCUUUGAACCAGUUUGGGGCAGGAAUGUAUACAUAAGUCUGGAACAUCUUGCCACACCAGACACAAGGAUCAUCUGUUAGCGAUGACAACAGAAGGAUCAUCUCAGAAGGACUCAGGAGCCAAACUAAAUACACUCUCCCUGCCAAAGGAAAUACAUUACAGCCCAGUGCUUCCUACAGGAACUGAAAAACCAGAUGGCCUGGAUUUGAAUUCCGGCUUCCACCUCCUACAGGCUCUGUGAGCUUGGCAAGCUCCUUAACCUCCCUGUGCCUCAGUUUCCUCGGCUGUAAGAUGGGG
rnacentral:lncRNA from 10 species